GAUGAAGAACGCAGCGAAACGCGAUAGGUAAUGUGAAUUGCAGAAUUCAGUGAAUCAUCGAAUCUUUGAACGCACAUUGCGCCCCCUGGUAUUCCGGGGGGCAUGCCUGUUCGAGCGUCAUUUCACCACUCAAGCCUCGCUUGGUAUUGGGCAACGCGGUCCGCCGCGUGCCUCAAAUCGACCGGCUGGGUCUUCUGUCCCCUAAGCGUUGUGGAAACUAUUCGCUAAAGGGUGUUCGGGAGGCUACGCCGUAAAACAACCCCAUUUCUAAGGUUGACCUCGGAUCAGGUAGGGAUACCCGCUGAACUUAAGCAUAUCAAUAAGCGGAGGA
rnacentral:misc_RNA from 1 species